rnacentral:rRNA from 1 species
UACGCAGGGGGCUAGCGUUGUUCGGAAUUACUGGGCGUAAAGCGCGCGCAGGCGGUCUUCCAAGUCAGUGGUGAAAGCCCGGAGCUCAACUCCGGAACUGCCAUUGAAACUGUUGGACUUGAGUACGAGAGAGGUGAGUGGAAUUCCCAGUGUAGAGGUGAAAUUCGUAGAUAUUGGGAAGAACACCGGUGGCGAAGGCGGCUCACUGGCUCGUAACUGACGCUCAGGCGCGACAGCGUGGGGAUCAAACAGG